rnacentral:rRNA from 1 species
GCUCAACCGGGGAGGGUCAUUGGAAACUGGGGAACUUGAGUGCAGAAGAGGAGAGUGGAAUUCCACGUGUAGCGGUGAAAUGCGUAGAGAUGUGGAGGAACACCAGUGGCGAAGGCGACUCUCUGGUCUGUAACUGACGCUGAGGCGCGAAAGCGUGGGGAGCGAACAGGAUUAGAUACCCUGGUAGUCCACGCCGUAAACGAUGAGUGCUAAGUGUUAGAGGGUUUCCGCCCUUUAGUGCUGCAGCAAACGCAUUAAGCACUCCGCCUGGGGAGUACGGUCGCAAGACUGAAACUCAAAGGAAUUGACGGGGGCCUGCACAAGCGGUGGAGCAUGUGGUUUAAUUCGAAGCAACGCGAAGAACCUUACCAGGUCUUGACAUCCUCUGACAACCCUAGAGAUAGGGCUUCCCCUUCGGGGGCAGAGUGACAGGUGGUGCAUGGUUGUCGUCAGCUCGUGUCGUGAGAUGUUGGGUUAAGUCCCGCAACGAGCGCAACCCUUGAUCUUAGUUGCCAGCAUUCAGUUGGGCACUCUAAGGUGACUGCCGGUGACAAACCGGAGGAAGGUGGGGAUGACGUCAAAUCAUCAUGCCCCUUAUGACCUGGGCUACACACGUGCUACAAUGGGCAGAACAAAG